rnacentral:lncRNA from 1 species
AUGUCAGAACCCAAAUGCAUAUGGACUUGAUAGAGCCUGGAGAGUGACUGAAAUCACAGCUGCCCAACUUAUAUGCGGAAGUCUCCUACCGAGGGAAGAAAACCACAGAUUCUCAGAGCCAGAAGGAAACUGCAAAGAGUAGUAUGAAAUAUUUGUAUUCACUUAAAGUGGAAAGACAAUCUGCACACCUGGAGGAGAUAUUUGCAACAUUUACAACUGGCAAAGGUUUAUUACCAAGAAUAUAUAAAGAAGUCUUAUAAAUCAACAAGAAAGAAGAAAAACAACAGAAAGAAAUGGACAAAAGAAAAAGCAUUUUAUAAAAGAAGAAAUGCUCAUGGCCAGCAAACAUAUGGAGAUGUUCAAACUCAUGUGAAAUGUAAAUCAAGACCCAAUAAGAUAAGCUUUUAUGUCCACUAAAAUGGCAAAAUGUUAAUAGCUAGACAAUCCAAGUAUUGGAGAACAUACAGAUCCAUGGGAUCUCUUACAUAUCGCUUAUAAGGGUACGCAUUAGGACAUAGGACACUCACUUAGAAAAAGUGUGGCAUUAUCUUGCAAAAUCAAACACUCACAUAGGCUGCUGUGCAGGUCCUGAGUCUGUUUGCCCUCAGAUCCACUCUUUGCUAUGCCCUUAUGUCCUCAGUUUUCCAGCAGGAUCUCGGCAGCCAUGUCAUCUUGCUUCCAGUUGGGCUCAGUUAAUAAAAGAGAGAGAAUGGAAGGUGGAAAGAAGGGAGAAGCCAAGGUGUUUCUCACCAGCACCCUCCCCUUCUCCUCUCAGGUAACAUCCCCUGUGGUGGCCACAGCUCUCCGAUGGGUCCAGUUCCCACAGGAAAGCCAGCCAUGAUUCUAACUUCUACCAGGUGACCCUGGCCCUGGGCUCUGGUGACACUAACCUUUUGUUUCUCUAGUCCUGGGGAGGGGUAGUAACAGCUUCCUGCUAUUAUUAAUUUAUGGAUUGCCUCAUUGCCUCCUGUGAGGCUUCUCAGCUAUUGAUUACCAUACUACUCAGCAAUAAAAAGGAAAAAACUAUUGAUACAUGCAACAACUUUGUCGGACCACAAGAGAAUUUUACCAACUAAAAAAGCCAGUCUCACAUUGUUACAUACUAUAUGAUUCCACUUACAUAACCUUCUAGAAAUGACAAAAUUAUUGAGGUGAAGAACAGAUUAGUGGUUGCCAAGGGUUAAAGACAGGGUUGGGGUUGGAGAAAGAAAUCAGUGUACCUAAAAAGAAGCAGCCAGAGGGAUCUUUGUGGUGACGGGACAGUUCUGUAUCUUGAUUGUGGUGGUGGUUAUACAAAUCUACGUGUAAUAAAGUUUUAUGUGUGCAUAGAACUAUGUACAUACUCAAACAAAUGCAUGUAACCCUGGUGAAAUCUGAAUAAGGUCUGUGGAUUGUGCCAAUACCAGUGACCUGGUUUUGAUACUGUAUUAUAGCUAUCUAAGACAUUAUUAUCAGGAGAAAAUGGGGGAAAGGUACAUGUACUUUUCUGUACUAUUUUUGCAACUUCUCGUGAAUCUGUUACUAUUUCAAAAUUAAAAGUAUCUGAAAAUCCA